AGAGUUUGAUCCUGGCUCAGGACGAACGCUGGCGGCGUGCUUAACACAUGCAAGUCGAACGAUGAACCACUUCGGUGGGGAUUAGUGGCGAACGGGUGAGUAACACGUGGGCAAUCUGCCCUUCACUCUGGGACAAGCCCUGGAAACGGGGUCUAAUACCGGAUAACACUCCCACUCUCCUGAGUGGGGGUUAAAAGCUCCGGCGGUGAAGGAUGAGCCCGCGGCCUAUCAGCUUGUUGGUGAGGUAAUGGCUCACCAAGGCGACGACGGGUAGCCGGCCUGAGAGGGCGACCGGCCACACUGGGACUGAGACACGGCCCAGACUCCUACGGGAGGCAGCAGUGGGGAAUAUUGCACAAUGGGCGAAAGCCUGAUGCAGCGACGCCGCGUGAGGGAUGACGGCCUUCGGGUUGUAAACCUCUUUCAGCAGGGAAGAAGCGAAAGUGACGGUACCUGCAGAAGAAGCGCCGGCUAACUACGUGCCAGCAGCCGCGGUAAUACGUAGGGCGCAAGCGUUGUCCGGAAUUAUUGGGCGUAAAGAGCUCGUAGGCGGCUUGUCACGUCGGGUGUGAAAGCCCGGGGCUUAACCCCGGGUCUGCAUUCGAUACGGGCUAGCUAGAGUGUGGUAGGGGAGAUCGGAAUUCCUGGUGUAGCGGUGAAAUGCGCAGAUAUCAGGAGGAACACCGGUGGCGAAGGCGGAUCUCUGGGCCAUUACUGACGCUGAGGAGCGAAAGCGUGGGGAGCGAACAGGAUUAGAUACCCUGGUAGUCCACGCCGUAAACGGUGGGAACUAGGUGU
rnacentral:rRNA from 1 species